ACGAACGCUGGCGGCGUGCUUAACCCCUGCCAGUCGGACGGAAAGGCCCUGCUUUUGUGGGGUGCUCGAGUGGCGAACGGGUGAGUAACACGUGAGUAACCUGCCCUUGACUUUGGGAUAACUUCAGGAAACUGGGGCUAAUACCGGAUAGGAGCUCCUGCUGCUUGGUGGGGGUUGGAAAGUUUCGGCGGUUGGGGAUGGACUCGCGGCUUAUCAGCUUGUUGGUGGGGUAGUGGCUUACCAAGGCUUUGACGGGUAGCCGGCCUGAGAGGGUGACCGGCCACAUUGGGACUGAGAUACGGCCCAGACUCCUACGGGAGGCAGCAGUGGGGAAUAUUGCACAAUGGGCGGAAGCCUGAUGCAGCAACGCCGCGUGCGGGAUGACGGCCUUCGGGUUGUAAACCGCUUUCGCCUGUGACGAAGCGUGAGUGACGGUAAUGGGUAAAGAAGCACCGGCUAACUACGUG
rnacentral:rRNA from 1 species